GGGCCCAUAGCUCAAUGGCAGAGCAAGUGCCUUUUAAGCACGUGGUUGGGGGUUCGAAUCCCUCUGGGCUCACUA
rnacentral:tRNA from 2 species